GAAUCCCUGGCGCUGCUUUCUGUCGCCUCCACACGGAUAUUCCCGUUCGGUUCUGUCGGGGCUCUGUCGCCUCCACACGGAUACUCCCGUUCGGUUCUGUCGGGGCUCUGUCGCCUCCACACGGAUACUCCCGUUCGGUUCUGUCGGGGCUCUGUCGCGGACGGCAACUAUGGCUGAUGCGGGAGAAGCCGGCGAAGAUGAAAUCCAGUUCUUACGAACCUGUAAUGGACCCUCUCAUCUCCUUCUACAGUGUAAUGGACCCUCUCAUCUCCUUCUACAGUGUAAUGGACCCUCUCACCUCCUUCUACAGUGUAAUGGACCCUCUCAUCUCCUUCUACAGUGUAAUAUACCCUCUCAUCUCCUUCUACAGUGUAAUACACUCUCAUAUCCUUCUACAG
rnacentral:lncRNA from 1 species